GAUGAAGAACGCAGCGAAAUGCGAUAAGUAGUGUGAAUUGCAGAAUUCAGUGAAUCAUCGAAUCUUUGAACGCACAUUGCGCCCCUUGGUAUCCCGAGGGGCAUGCCUGUUCGAGCGUCAUUUCACCACUCAAGCCUGGCUUGGUGUUGGGCGACGUCCUCUUUGGGGACGCGCCUCGAAACGCUCGGCGGCGUGGCACCGGCUUUAAGCGUAGCAGAAUCUUUCGCUUUGGAAGUCGGGGCCCCGUCUGCCGGAAGACCUGCUCGCAAGGUUGACCUCGGAUCAGGCAGGGAUACCCGCUGAACUUAAGCAUAUCAUAAGCGAGGA
rnacentral:misc_RNA from 1 species